CUGCAGACGAAGUUAUACGGAAGCGUCUCCUCAUUGAUGGAGAUGGUGCUGGAGAUGAUCGGAGAAUUAAUCUGCUAGUGAAGAGUUUCAUUAAAUGGUGCAACUCUGGGUCCCAGGAAGAGGGAUAUAGCCAGUACCAACGUAUGCUGAGCACGCUGUCUCAAUGUGAAUUUUCAAUGGGCAAAACUUUACUAGUAUAUGAUAUGAAUCUCAGAGAAAUGGAAAAUUAUGAAAAAAUUUACAAGGAAAUAGGUAAAGAAUCUUAAUGUUUCUAUCUGUAAUUUUAUUUUUUAUGGUCUAAAGGAAACAAUACCUGCUAACAAUUUUCUUUGGUGGUAAAAGAAUAAUAACAAUUACUGUAUUAAUGGAAAGAAUACAGUAAAUGUUAGCUAUAAAAAAUGUGUAUUCUAAGAUGAUAUAGUACUUUGGGUUACAGCUAUUUUUUAAAAAUACUAGUGUCUAUUUUGUUACCAAUAGAGGUUAAUUUAUAAAUGCGUUUUAAAAUUAAAAAUGGAUUAUUGAU
rnacentral:lncRNA from 1 species